AGAUGUUAAAAGCAAGAGACAUGGGAGAGCAUCAUUCCUUUGAGAUUUUAUAAAUCAAACCAAGUUUGGAGUUGUCUUGUCUGAUUUGGAGAGUCAUCAUUCUUGGUCUUCGCUCUUAGAGGCCACUGAUGAAGAGCAGGCGGUGACUGGGAUGAAUCCUGGUCAGAGAGGAGAAUCUUCUUUCCCCUAAACUGAUGCAGCGGUGGUUUUAAAGGAGGACGCUGCCCUGGAUGAUGUAGAAGAUGUCACAUGCUGUGCUGAUGGGGUUUCUUCAUGACUACAUCAGUUAUGCUAAAGAGAUCAUGAAAAUUGACCCGGAUGCAUGAUCUGUAUUAAUGGACUAUGAAACAAACUGUAAGUGUAUAAUUUGUUAAAAAAAAAAAAGUUAAAUGCUUUUUCUGUGUUGUUUAGUAGAAAAGUUUACACUCUGUCAUUCAUACACCUGCUCACAUUCUUUCACACACACACACACGUCUGUUAAAUGUUAUAAUAUCAAAGUUAAUGUUGUGAUUUAUUUGUGUACUGUCAUGCCAGAAUAGUUGGAAAAAAAACCUAACUAAUUGUAAAUUUAUUGUAUGUGUUUUCGUAUAUUUUUAUACAAUAUAUACAAUUGAACAAAGCCCAAUUUGAUCUUAAGUUAUAUUCAUCAAAUGUUCAAUGCUUUGUUUAUGAACUCUGUAGCUGUUAAUGCCAUCCUUUUCUGCAUUUCUUCUAACAUGUUACUUUUUGACUUUUCUCUUGUUUUUAAUAAAUAUUUUCCUUUUGGUAAUUAUUAUUUGUGUGUAAAAGUGAUAUUUAAAAUGAACAACAUUUGUAGGUUUAAUGCCUAGCUCAAUUUGGGUUAAUUUUAACGUAGAAAUGCAUUGUUUCCCCACAUGGCUGCACUGCGAGUUUAUUUUCUGCCAGCAGGAGGCGCUAAGAGCGGGAGAGGUAGGUUUCUCCGGUAACGGCUGCAGAGCGGUGCUGAGCUCACAAACGCUGCCUUAUCAAGCACAUGCGAAAUGAUAUCGAUCAUUUUCUAAAUACAGUAGUUUUCCUUCUGAAAUACAGUGAUAAAAAACACCCGCUCUGGUUUUUGAAACCCUGCAAUAUAGUCAUUUUAAACCAUAAAAAAUGGCAACCCAGCAGGCUGGGUUAAAUAUGAUAACCCAACUGGUUGGGUUAAAAUAACCCAGCGCUGGGUUCGUCCCUUUUUGACCCAGCGCUGGGUUGUCAAAAUAACCCAAAUUGGGUUGUUUUCAACCCAGCAGUUUUUAGAGUGUA